UUUAAUUGUUUGUUAUUUUAUUUAAUUGUUAGAAUUGUUUGGUAUAACCUUUUUAAUUUAAAUUUGUUAAUUGUUUGUUUGAUUAUUUAUUUUUAAUAUGUGAAUAAUUGUGUAACUUAUUUAUUUUACUAUUAGUGUUACAUUUUUAAAUAAGUGUGACAAUUGAUGUGAUUAAAAUAGGUUAUUUUCUUUUAGUGUCAGUGUGUGCCGAAAUGUGUGUGUGUGAAUGUGUUUUAUUUUUUCUUUUAUUAAUUUAUUUAGUUAUUGUUCCCAUUAUAGAAAAGGAAUGGUAGUAUGAAUCUAGACCUUAUGUGAGUCUUGAGCAUUUUCCUUUUAAUUAUGAAAAGAAAAGAAAAUAGAAAAGAAAAGAAAUAUAAGUUGUCAUCUUGUAGGAAAAGAUGACAAUGUUGAUUUUUUAUUUGGUUCACAUUAGGAUAAGGGUUUAGGUGAAGUCUAAGGAGAGGAAGCCUUGGCAUUCUUUUCCUUGUGGCUGCCGAAAUUAGAAGAGGAGGAGAGAGAGAGAGAGGCGUGAAAGAGAGAGAAAGUGGAGGAGAAAGGAAGAAGAAGAAGAAGGAGGAGGUCCUAGGGUAUUCAAAGGUGAUUAUCACUUGGGUGUUGAUCAAGUUGUGUUCUUGAUUUUACAAUCAAGAGAGGCUCGUUGAGAAGUUGUGGUUUUACUUAGCUUGGACCCGAGCGUGAUGAACGAGACACAUCAAAAUGGGUUGCUAAGGAUAAGAAGACGUAACCCGAGUUACUAAGGAUAUGAAGACGUAACUCCAUGGGCGGACACACCGAGGUUAUUCAAGGACCAGAGACUCUUAUUUACCUCAAAGGGUGGCAUGGACAAUUAGCGGGCCAUGUUCACAAGGAAUUGUUUAUGAAUGUGUUAUGAUGUUAAGAUGUUUGUUUAUGAUUUAAUGAUUUUGUUAUGAUGUUAUGAUGUUUAUGAUAUGACGGUGGCAAUAUGUUUAUGUUUAUGAUAUUGAUGUCAAUUAUAUGGUGAUGCUAUGAUGUAUAAAGAUGAAUGAUAGUGUUUGUAAAUUGUUGUAUCUUAUUUGUUUGUUGUUUGCACUUCCUUACUGGGCUUUUAGCUCACCCCCUUACUUUCCCUUCUAGGUAGCAAAUAGGUUUUCUCUGUGGCACGCGUGGUGAUGUGGAGAGUUAUGUCGUCCUGGUGUGUAUGGCGUUGGGGCAUCCUAUGGACGAAAAAUGAUCAAUUACAAACGCCAUUUUUAAUAAUGUUAUGUUUUAUGAGACUUUUUUUUUUAAACUUAUCAGUGGGACUUGAAUUAUUGGUUGUUUUAGAACUUUGCAUAAAAACUGAUAUUUUCUUUAAAAACUAUUGGGCCCAACUUGUAUGUUUUUAAGCAAGACCCCACUGAAACCUUUAUAAUAAGCGGCUUUUCUUUUAUAGACCAAUGAAAAUGUGAAUGUUUUAUUAAGUACUAGUCUAGGG